rnacentral:rRNA from 1 species
CCCAUGGCUCAGAUUGAACGCUGGCGGCAGGCCUAACACAUGCAAGUCGAGCGGUAGAGAGAAGCUUGCUUCUCUUGAGAGCGGCGGACGGGUGAGUAAUGCCUAGGAAUCUGCCUGGUAGUGGGGGAUAACGUUCGGAAACGAACGCUAAUACCGCAUACGUCCUACGGGAGAAAGCAGGGGACCUUCGGGCCUUGCGCUAUCAGAUGAGCCUAGGUCGGAUUAGCUAGUUGGUGAGGUAAUGGCUCACCAAGGCGACGAUCCGUAACUGGUCUGAGAGGAUGAUCAGUCACACUGGAACUGAGACACGGUCCAGACUCCUACGGGAGGCAGCAGUGGGGAAUAUUGGACAAUGGGCGAAAGCCUGAUCCAGCCAUGCCGCGUGUGUGAAGAAGGUCUUCGGAUUGUAAAGCACUUUAAGUUGGGAGGAAGGGCAGUAACUUAAUACGUUGCUGUUUUGACGUUACCGACAGAAUAAGCACCGGCUAA